AGGAAUAUAUGUUCUUGUGGUUAAAGUGCUGUACUGGGACUCAGAAGAUCGGAAUAAAUUCUGGCCCUGCCAUAGACUACUUAUGUAACCUUGGAUACAUGGACUGCCUUUCCUGUCUCUGGUAAUGGAACAAUAUCUGAAUGGUGAAUACAGCAAUUUCCUACAUGGAAAAAGUAGCAGUAAUGCAAUUUAGUAGGUAGGAACAAACAGCUGAACCAGCAUCAUGUGACCAGCCAGCUCUCCACAGACCAUUGGUGGGAGUUUAUUGGAUGGGAUGUCUGUGUGGAUAUCCUUGAGACCAGUUUGGAUAAUUCCAUGGAAACUAUUGAGUCCCCAGCUCCAGCCUCCACACCAAAAUCCAGUGGAAUCCAGCCCUUGAAUGCAUGCAUAGAAAGAUUUCCUGUAGAUUGGAGUGAAUUACUUCCAAACGGUGUAUAGCAAAGUUCAUUAGAAAAAAUAAAGAAAAUCACAUCAAAUGUUAUAGCAUAAAAUCACAUCUUGUGUAAAUUUGGGUAACAGCCUAGUAAUAUCAACAUAUAUGUAUAGAUAUGGGUGAAUGUUACAUUCUGUCUCUCUCCCAUUCUAUUGGAGUCUUUGCGUGUCUCUUAACAUUGCAGCAUUUCAGAGGCUCUCGGACACAUCAGAGGUCACUGAGUAAGUGUUGUUACCACCUACUCCUAUAUUAGGGGGUUCUGUCAAGUAUACAUUGGAGAAUUUUACAAGUAACUUAGAAAUGUUGUGACCCUUUACUGCCUUACUCAGUUGUAUGAUGCAUUUGCGGUUAUUAUUCAGCCCCCAGCUAUGGAGUCAUACUACUGCGGUAGCUGUUCUGUUCUGAGAGAGGCAAUAUAUUUACCUAGGUGCAACCUCUGGAACACAAAUUAAUCCCUGUCCCUUUCCCUAGAAUGGUUGCCUUUCUAUGCCAUGUUUAUUUAAAAAAUAACCAAAACCAAUCCCAUCCCAGAGAUAU